UACGUAGGCAGCAAGCGUUGUUCGGAAUUAUUGGGCGUAAAGGGCGCGUAGGCGGUGCGGUAAGACUGUGGUGAAAUCUUCGGGCCUCAACUCGAAGCCUGCCGCGGUGACUGCCGUGCUGGAGUGUGGGGAGAGGUGCGUUGGAAUUCCCGGUGUAGCGGAUGAAAUGCGUAGAUAUCGGGAGGAACACCUGUGGCGAAAGCGGCGCACUGGACCACAACUGACGCUGAUGCGCGAAAGCUAGGGGGAGCAAACAGG
rnacentral:rRNA from 1 species